AGUGAACGCUGGCGGUAGGCCUAACACAUGCAAGUCGAACGGCAGCACAGUAAGAGCUUGCUCUUACGGGUGGCGAGUGGCGGACGGGUGAGGAAUACAUCGGAAUCUACUUUUUCGUGGGGGAUAACGUAGGGAAACUUACGCUAAUACCGCAUACGACCUACGGGUGAAAGCAGGGGAUCUUCGGACCUUGCGCGAUUGAAUGAGCCGAUGUCGGAUUAGCUAGUUGGCGGGGUAAAGGCCCACCAAGGCGACGAUCCGUAGCUGGUCUGAGAGGAUGAUCAGCAACACUGGAACUGAGACGCGGUCCAGACUCCUACGGGAGGCACCAUUGGGGAAUAUUGGACAAUGGGCGCAAGCCUGAUCCAGCCAUACCGCGUGGGUGAAGAAGGCCUUCGGGUUGUAAAGCCCUUUUGUUGGGAAAGAAAAGCAGCCGGUUAAUACCCAGCUGUUCUGACGGUACCCAAAGAAUAAGCACCGGCUAACUUCGUG
rnacentral:rRNA from 1 species